GCAAAGUAAAGUAACUUCGUGUCUCUCUCUUCCCUGUCUCUCUCUGUUCCUGUUGUCUUGGGCUCACAGGGUUCGCUGCUUUACAACAGUGGGGGGGACAGCACAGCAAACUGCUCUUCUGACAAGCAGCAGAACGAGGGCAAGCUCAUUAAAGCAUCCUUUGCGCCCAUCUGCUUCGCAAUAAAGUCGAAAGAAAAUGACCUUCUGCCUCUGGAGAAGAAUCGUGUGAGACUGGACGACGACUCAGAUGAGGACGGGAUGAAGGGGGGAGGUGCAAGAGGGAGCGGAGUUGGCGAUCGGAUUGGUCGAAGCAGCCAGAGAGCCUCCUCAACCUCCAUUGGCCGAGGAGAAGAAACCAGUACUGUCCCAGGAAGAAAUAGAAGCCAAACAAGCCAAACAGAAGCUGGAGGACCGGUUAGCAGCCGCUGCGAGAGAAAAGCUCGCCCAGGCCUCCAAAGAGUCCAAAGAGAGGCAGCUUCAAGCUGAACGCAAGAGGAAAGCCGCCCUCUUUCCUGCAGACUCUGCGAGGACCAGAGGCUGAGGUCAAGCGUACAGAGGAAACCACUGCUGCGCCUGAGGUUUGUUUGAGUGUGUGUGUGUGUGCAUUUUUCAGCAUUGUCCGUCUACCACCACAUAUACCUAGGCUUUCUCUGAAUUCCUAGUACUUGUAUGAACUGAAUUUGAAAGACGUUCAGAUGUGUAUUAUAUAUUGUAUCUGCCAUACUGACAUUGAACUUUGAAUUUAACCGCAAAUAACAAUUUCUUGCUACCUAUAGUGAUUGCGCUUGAAAAUAGCCGGCCACUCUUCAUUUCGCUUUCAUUGCAUUUCUUGACAUGCUCG